rnacentral:rRNA from 1 species
GAUGAACGCUGGCUACAGGCUUAACACAUGCAAGUCGAGGGGAAACGGCAUUGAGUGCUUGCACUGAAUGGACGUCGACCGGCGCACGGGUGAGUAACGCGUAUCCAACCUUCCCGUUACUGCGGGAUAACCUGCCGAAAGGCAGACUAAUACCGCAUGUUCUUCGAUGACGGCAUCAGAUUCGAAGCAAAGAUCCGUCGGUAACGGAGGGGGAUGCGUCUGAUUAGCUAGUUGGCGGGGCGACGGCCCACCAAGGCGACGAUCAGUAGGGGUUCUGAGAGGAAGGUCCCCCACAUUGGAACUGAGACACGGUCCAAACUCCUACGGGAGGCAGCAGUGAGGAAUAUUGGUCAAUGGGCGGAAGCCUGAACCAGCCAAGUAGCGUGCAGGAGGACGGCCCUACGGGUUGUAAACUGCUUUUAUGCGGGGAUAAAGUGAGGGACGCGUCCCUUUUUGCA